CACACCGCCCGUCACAUCACGAAAGUGGGUUGUACUAGAAGUCCGCGCCGCUAACCGUAAGGAGGCAGCGGCCCAAGGUAUGACUCAUGAUUGGGGUG
rnacentral:rRNA from 1 species